rnacentral:rRNA from 2 species
CAAUAGCGUAUAUUAAAGUUGUUGCAGUUAAAAAGCUCGUAGUUGGAUCUCGGAUCCCGGCUCGCGGUCCACCUCACGGUGGUUACUGCCCGUCCGGAUCUACCUCCCGGUUUUCCCUUGGUGCUCUUGACUGAGUGUCUCGGGUGGCCGGAACGUUUACUUUGAAAAAAUUAGAGUGUUCAAAGCAGGCGCUUCGCCUGAAUAAUGGUGCAUGGAAUAAUGGAAUAGGACCUCGGUUCUAUUUUGUUGGUUUUCGGAACUUGAGGUAAUGAUUAAGAGGGACAGACGGGGGCAUUCGUAUUACGGUGUUAGAGGUGAAAUUCUUGGAUCGCCGUAAGACGAACUACUGCGAAAGCAUUUGCCAAGAAUGUUUUCAUUAAUCAAGAACGAAAGUCAGAGGUU